GACGAACGCUGGCGACGCGCUUAACACAUGCAAGCCGAACGGAAAGGCCUGCUUUCCCUUGUGGAUUGCGGGUACUCGAGUGGCGAACGGGUGAGUAACACGUGAGUGAUCUGCCCCCAACUUGGGUAUAAGCCUGGGAAACUGGGUCUAAUUCCCGAUAGGACUGCAGGGUGGUGCCUGUGGUGGAAAACGAUUUUCUAGUGGUUGGGGAUGAGCUCGCGGCCUAUCAGCUUGUUGGUGGGGUAAUGGCCUACCAAGGCGGCGACGGGUAGCCGGCCUGAGAGGGUGGACGGCCACAUUGGGACUGAGAUACGGCCCAGACUCCUACGGGAGGCAGCAGUGGGGAAUAUUGCACAAUGGGCGGAAGCCUGAUGCAGCGACGCCGCGUGGGGGAUGACGGCCUUCGGGUUGUAAACUCCUUUCGACCGCGAGGAAGCCACCUGGUUGGAAGGGUGGUGACGGUAGUGGUAGAAGAAGCACCGGCUAACUACGUG
rnacentral:rRNA from 1 species